CAGAUCAAUUUCAGCUUCACUCUUCUCUUGUAGAGGAUCAGACAGUUCUCCAGUAAAAGGCUGUGUGUGUUUUGAUCAUCCUUGAAAUGGAGUGUUGUCUCUUUGUUCAACCUUCUUCCUUCAUUACAAUUCCUUUAAAGGGUAAAUUAAAACGCCAUUAUUUUCCCAAUUCCAAGCUCCUACGAGUUGCUGCUCUUCUUCUUCAAAAGAUUCAUUUGACUCUUUACCUGUCUCCGACAAUUCUUCUGGAAAUUUUUGCAUUAUAGAGGGACCUGAAACGGUUCAGAACUUCACUCAAAUGCAGACACAGCAAAUCCAAGAUAAUAUAAGGAGUAGGCGAAAUAAGAUAUUUCUUCUUAUGGAGGAGGUGAGGAGACUACGGAUACAACAACGCCUCAAGAGGAUGAAAGGUUCUCAUGAGGGGACUUCAGAUGAGGCAAACGAAAUGCCUGAGAUUCCUUCAUCUAUUCCCUUCCUUCCCCAUGUGACUCCUAAGACAUUGAAGCAACUAUACUUGGCGAGCUUUUCAUUUAUAGCUAGGAUCAUCGUCUUUGGAGGCCUUAUUGCUCCAACUCUUGGAUUGAAAAGGUUUAGGGGGCAUGUCUUAUGAGGAUUCCUAUCGCACCUUGCAUUUGCCUCUUCAACUGAGGAUAUUUGGCUUGUUCUUGAUGUUCUGCUAGUGGUGUGUGCUUAAGGACAGAAUCAAUUGCGAUAUCUAGUGAUUUUGAUCGUCCCUUGCGAGUGGCAACUACACAAAGG